AGCAGCCGCGGUAAUUCCAGCUCCAAUAGCGUAUUAUUAAAGUUGUUGCAGUUAAAAAGCUCGUAGUUGAAUUUCGGGAUUGACACAUCGGUCGUGCCUUUAAGGGGUAUGAACUGGUGUAGUCAAUUUCUCACCUUUCUGGAGAACCGCGAUGCCCUUAAUUGGGUGUCGCGGGGAACCAGGACCUUUACUUUGAAAAAAUUAGAGUGUUUAAAAGCAGGCAUUUUGCUUGAAUACAUUAGCAUGGAAUAAUAAAAUAGGACGGCAUGAUUCUAUUUUGUUGGUUUCUAGGAUCACCGUAAUGAUUAGUAGGGAUAGUUGGGGGCAUUAGUAUUCAAUUGUCAGAGGUGAAAUUCUUGGAUUUAUUGAAGACUAACUACUGCGAAAGCAUUUGCCAAGGAUGUUUUCAUUAAUCAAGAACGAAAGUUAGGGGAUCGAAGACGAUCAGAUACCGUCGUAGUCUUAACCAUAAACUAUGCCGACUAGGAAUCAGACGAUGUUAAUUUUUUAAUGACUCGUUUGGCACCUUACG
rnacentral:rRNA from 1 species